rnacentral:sRNA from 1 species
ACUCUUUCUAUUCACUUCUUUCAAUUCACUGAUUCUCCAAUCUCUUGCUUAGCAAUCUAUGUUGUCAUAUUUAUUAACCUCUACAACUGUCAUUUCUGACUCUCUUCUUUAUCACUCUCUCUCAUUCAUCUGUCAGAAUUGCCAGCCUUUCUCUAUUUCUUCAUAAUAAAGAGAGAGCUCAAUGUGCUAAUUGCUUAGUGUUCAUCUGAUAUCAAAUCACUUUAAAACUUCAUUGAUUUCAAACUGUUUCUCUGUUUUAGCUCUUUACAACCAUCCUCUAUUUUCUCUCUGCAUUUUAUCAUUGAUAGCAAGCUUCACAUCAUCAUUUACAUGUUAGAAAGUUAUUACUGACUGAUUAGAUCAGUGUUACAACAUGUCUCAUACACACAACAUCAAAUCUGAAAGAGCACUGCAGUCUGCAGAGAAGUCUUGUGAGCUUAUAGACAUUUCACUGUUCAAGCUGUCAUCUGUCAACAAGGUUAUCAGAAAACUGCUUGUCAAGUAUGAUCUCUAUCAUCAGUUCUACACUCAGACAGAUGUUCUCUCUUGUGUCAAGCAGGUGUUGAGAGACAACCUUGUCAAGUUUCUCAGCUGCAUCUCAUCAAAUCAGAAUAAUCCCAAGAUAGUCAAUGAUCUAUAUACCUG